GAUUCAGAAUCCACUUCUAGAGGAGGUAGUAAGGAGACCAUCGAAAGAUUAAAGUGG
rfam:Camelus ferus unplaced genomic scaffold scaffold618, whole genome shotgun sequence.